rnacentral:rRNA from 1 species
GACGCCCCUAAUCCAGCCCACAUCCCCUGUCUCAAAUUUAUUUCCCCCCCCCAAAAAAAUAAAUCAUUCUUGAUCUAAAGUAAAUGCGAUUGAAAAAGAAAAACUUGGAGCCUUAUUAAUAGUACCGUAAGGGAAAGAUGAAAUAGAAAUUAAACAAAUAUUUAAGCAACAAACAGUAGAGACUUCAACUCGUACCUUUUGCAUUAUGGUUUAACUAGUCCAACCAGGCAAAAAGAUCUUUAGUCUGACUUCCCGAAACUAAGUGAGCUACUCCAAGGUAACCCUAGAGUUAACCCGUCUCUGUGGCAAAAGAGUGGGAUAACCUUCGAGUAGAGGUGACAUACCUAUCGAACUUAGUAAUAGCUGGUUACUCAAGAAACGAAUUUAAGUUCCUUCUCAAGAGUAUUUAGCAUGCUUACAUUAAGCAAAUUUAACCUCUUAAGACCUAUUCAAUUAGGGUACAGCCUCAUUGAAAAAGGAUACAACCUAUUACUCAGGUUAAUGUUUUUAUAGACCUAGCAUAAGUUGGCCUAAGAGCAGCCACCUUUAAAAUAGCGUCAAAGCUUUCUCUACCGUCUUCUCAAAUCCCGUAAUCCAUACAGAACCCGAUACUAUUAUUGAGUCCUUCUAUACUUCUAUAGAAGUGUCUAUGUUAAAACUAGUAACACAGAACUUAUUCUCCCUAUGUAAGUGUAAAUCAGACAGAAUAAAUCACUGAUAAUUAUUCAGUUAUGAAUCUACUGUAAUAACCCCACUAGAAAACCCUACAGCCCUUUACUGUUAACCUAACACAAGAACAUAAGAGAAAGAUUAAAAGAUAAGGAAGGAACUCGGCAAAUCUAAAUCCCGCCUGUUUACCAAAAACAUCGCCUUUUGCACACUAUAUAAGGUAAUGCCUGCCCAGUGACCAUGUGUUCAACGGCCGCGGUAUUCUGACCGCGCAAAGGUAGCGUAAUCACUUGUUUUUUAAAUAAAGACUAGUAUGAACGGCUUCACGAGGACUUGACUGUCUCCCUUUUCCAAUCAGUGAAACUAAUCUUCUCGUGCAGAAGCGAGAAUACACCCAUUAGACGAGAAGACCCUAUGGAGCUUUAAACUUUAUAUUAAUUAUUAUUACUUAUACAGAAAUAAACAAUAAAAAUUUUAACUUAAUUUAAGUUUUAGGUUGGGGCGACCAAGGAGAAAAAAAUAUCCUCCCUGAUGAUUUUUAAUUAAGAACCACAGUUCUAAGUAUUAAGACACUUAACUUCCAUUGACCCAUUUUUUGAUCAACGAACCAAGUUACCCUAGGGAUAACAGCGCUAUCCAUUUCAAGAGUUCAUAUCGACAAAUGGGUUUACGACCUCGAUGUUGGAUCAGGGUACCCAAG